AAAAAUUAGAGCAAAUAUAAGCUGAGUCAAGCAUCAAGAAAUCAACUAGUUUUGGUGUCACAUAAUGUUGGUUAUCAUUGGAUUCUCACAGUCAUUGAUCCAUAUAAGGAGACAGUUUAUUUGUUGGAUUCGCGACCUCCUCCCUCGCCACCGGCCGCAACCCUCGGUCUAUCUCUUUCCCCUA